CUACGGGGCGCUGCAGUGAGGAAUUUUGCGCAAUGGGGGGAACCCUGACGCAGCAACGCCGCGUGAGUGAUGAAGGCUUUCGGGUCGUAAAGCUCUGUCAAGUGGGAAGAACCUAUGCAGUGUUAAUAUCACUGUGUACUGACGGUACCACUGAAGGAAGCACCGGCUAGCUCCGUGCCAGCAGCCGCGGUAAUACGGGGGGUGCAAGCGUUAUUCGGAAUCAUUGGGCGUAAAGGGCACGUAGGCGGCUUGGUAAGUCAGAUGUGAAAGCCCGGGGCUUAACCCCGGAAGUGCAUUUGAUACUGUCAGGCUUGAGUAUGGGAGAGGGAAGUGGAAUUCCUGGUGUAGAGGUGAAAUUCGUAGAUAUCAGGAGGAACACCGGUGGCGAAGGCGACUUCCUGGACCAAUACUGACGCUGAGGUGCGAAGGCGUGGGGAGCAAACAGGAUUAGAUACCCCCGUAGUC
rnacentral:rRNA from 1 species